UACGUAGGCAGCGAGCGUUGUUCGGAGUUACUGGGCGUAAAGGGUGUGUAGGCGGUUCUCUAAGUCUGGUGUGAAGUCUCCCGGCUCAACUGGGAGGGUGCGCCGAAAACUGGAGGGCUAGAGUGCGGGAUGGGUAAGUGGAAUUCCUGGUGUAGCGGUGAAAUGCGUAGAUAUCAGGAGGAACACCUGUGGUGUAGACGGCUUACUGGACCGCAACUGACGCUGAAACACGAAAGCGUGGGUAGCAAACAGG
rnacentral:rRNA from 1 species